rnacentral:lncRNA from 1 species
AAUUUUCAUUUCUUUGAUCCCCGUCUUUUUUUUUUUUACAUCCACACAACCAUGAGCCUUUUCUUUGUUUUUUUCUUUCUUUUCUUUUUCUUUGCUCUAUGGUUUCAAGGGUGAUUUCUUUUUCUUAUUUCUUUUUAUAUUUUCACCCUUUCAUAAAAACUCACUUCUCCAAGUUUCUAAUCAACUCUUUUUACUUUACUCUCCCCAACUUUAGAUUCCAAAACCAAAUUUAUUCAAUAAUGCUCCCUACUUAGACAUAAGCAAUUCUCCAAGUUUCUAAUCAACUCUUUUUACUUUACUCUCCCCAACUUUAGAUUCCAAAACCAAAUUUAUUCAAUAAUGCUCCCUACUUAGACAUAAGCAAAAGGCAAAAUUUG